CCAUUCACAGUCUUUACUCAGGAAGCCACGAGCGCGUUCCUUCAGGAAAACUGGGAGCCAGCCAGACUGUACUUAACUGCACGAGCUCUUUCCCUUUACUGAGUUAGCCUUUUGUGGCAACAGUGAUGUUGCAGUUACAAGCAAAGAAGUUUUGUGCUGAGCCGAUUUUCCUUUCCCGAAGGUUCGUAACAAGACUAUUGGAAUUCUAUCUUCUGAGGAGUCUGAGUUGCAGGCGGCCCUUGCACAUACUCAGGAGGCUGCACGGAAGAAAUCAGGAGAAGCCAAGAGCUUUGCUGCUCAUUUACAUUCAUCUCGCCAGAGGGUAGUGGAGCUGGAACGUACUUUGGCCUCCAUCUCUCUGCAGCAGAAACAGGCAGAGAAGCAUAACGAAGAGUUAAUGAAGGAGCUAGAAGACCUGAAACUGGAGCUGUACAAACAAAGCAAAAGCAGUGAGGAAAUAAAGCAGCAGAAUGCAGAGCUGUCACAGAAGAUUCGCUGCCUGUCUUCCAAGAUCUCAGCUAAGGAUUUGCAUAUGGACAAUUUGCAUCAGAAACUGGACAUGGCUGAACGGAGGAUCCAACAGCUCUCAGGGUCAGUUCACCAGCUCCAGGCAGAAAGAGAUCACUAUGUAAAGAAACUGAAGGAGGUGCGGAGAAUGUGGCAGCAGUAGGUGCAGCAGUUCUCUGAGCAGGUCCAUGCAAUGGCAGACGAGGAGGAGGAG